UGGUAAUUCUGAGUAACUAUGUUCUGCAGGAGGGUUAUUUUGUAGUCAUUCUGUUGAUCUUCUUAUGUUAGCUCUAAAUAUAAUUGCUCGGUUUGUAAUCAUUCUUUCUCAUAUAAUUACAAUGAAUAUAAUGAUUCCUACAAUAGAAAUUGUAGACCCAAUUCUUGAUACUACGUUUCAUGAUGUAUAUGCAUCUGGGUAGUCAGAGUAUCGUCGAGGUAUUCCUGCUAAUCCUAGGAAGUGUUGAGGAAAGAAUGUUAAAUUUACUCCAAUGAAUAUAAUUGUAAAUUGGAUUUUUAAUCAUGUAUUAUUUAUAGUUAAUCCUGUAAAUAGUGGAUAUCAUUGAAUGACACCUCCUAUAAUUGCAAAUACUGCUCCUAUAGAUAAUACAUAAUGAAAGUGGGCUACUACAUAAUAUGUAUCAUGUAAUACAAUAUCAAGUGAUGAAUUUGCUAAUACUAAUCCUGUUAAUCCACCAAUUGUAAAUAGGAAAAUAAAUCCUAGAGCUCAUAAUAAUGGUGGAUUGAACUUGAAUUUAGUUCCAUAUAAUGUAGCUAAUCAUCUAAAUACCUUAAUUCCUGUAGGUACAGCAAUAAUUAUUGUUGCUGAUGUAAAAUAUGCUCGUGUGUCAACAUCCAUUCCUACUGUAAAUAUAUGAUGUGCUCAUACAAUAAAUCCUAUUAGUCCAAUUGAUAGUAUAGCAUAAAUUAUACCUAAUGUUCCAAAUGAUUCAAUUUUUCCUCUUUCUUGACAUACAAUAUGUGAAAUAAUUCCGAACCCCGGUAGAAUUAAAAUAUAAACUUCUGGGUGUCCAAAGAAUCAAAAUAGAUGUUGAUAUAGAAUUGGGUCACCCCCUCCUGCAGGGUCAAAGAAUGAUGUAUUUAAAUUUCGAUCUGUUAAUAAUAUAGUAAUAGCUCCUGCUAAAACUGGAAGUGAAAGAAGGAGAAGUAAUGCUGUAAUAGCUACAGAUCAUACAAAUAAAGGUGUUUGAUCUAAAGUUAUACUUUCUGAUCGUAUAUUAAUUGCUGUUGUAAUGAAAUUCACUGCACCAAGAAUAGAUGAUACACCUGCUAAGUGCAGUGAAAAAAUAGCUAGAUCUACAGAUGCACCCCCGUGUGCAAUAGCUCCUGCUAGAGGAGGGUAAACUGUUCAUCCUGUACCAGCACCAUUAUCUACUAUAGAAGAUGUAAGAAGAAGGGUUAGUGAAGGUGGUAGUAAUCAAAAACUUAUAUUAUUUAUUCGUGGAAAUGCUAUAUCUGGUGCACCAAUUAUUAGUGGAACAAGUCAAUUACCAAAUCCACCAAUUAUAAUAGGUAUUACUAUAAAGAAAAUUUUUACGAAUGCGUGAGCUGUAAUAAUAACAUUAUAAAUCUGGUCAUCCCCAAUUAGAGAUCCGGGUUGGCCAAGUUCAGCACGAAUAAGUAUUCUUAUUGAUGUUCCUACUAUUCCUGCUCAUGCUCCAAAUAUGAAGUAUAAAGUACCAAUGUCCUUAUGGUUUGUUGAGAAUAAUCAUUUUUGC